AGAGUUUGAUCCUGGCUCAGGAUGAACGCCGGCGGUGUGCCUAAUACAUGCAAGUCGUACGCACUGGCCCAACUGAUUGAUGGUGCUUGCACCUGAUUGACGUUGGAUCACCAGUGAGUGGCGGACGGGUGAGUAACACGUAGGUAACCUGCCCCGGAGCGGGGGAUAACAUUUGGAAACAGAUGCUAAUACCGCAUAACAACAAAAGCCACAUGGCUUUUGUUUGAAAGAUGGCUUUGGCUAUCACUCUGGGAUGGACGUGCGGUGCAUUAGCUAGUUGGUAAGGUAACGGCUUACCAAGGCGAUGAUGCAUAGCCGAGUUGAGAGACUGAUCGGCCACAAUGGAACUGAGACACGGUCCAUACUCCUACGGGAGGCAGCAGUAGGGAAUCUUCCACAAUGGGCGCAAGCCUGAUGGAGCAACACCGCGUGAGUGAAGAAGGGUUUCGGCUCGUAAAGCUCUGUUGUUGGAGAAGAACGUGCGUGAGAGUAACUGUUCACGCAGUGACGGUAUCCAACCAGAAAGUCACGGCUAACUACGUGCCAGCAGCCGCGGUAAUACGUAGGUGGCAAGCGUUAUCCGGAUUUAUUGGGCGUAAAGCGAGCGCAGGCGGUUGCUUAGGUCUGAUGUGAAAGCCUUCGGCUUAACCGAAGAAGUGCAUCGGAAACCGGGCGACUUGAGUGCAGAAGAGGACAGUGGAACUCCAUGUGUAGCGGUGGAAUGCGUAGAUAUAUGGAAGAACACCAGUGGCGAAGGCGGCUGUCUGGUCUGCAACUGACGCUGAGGCUCGAAAGCAUGGGUAGCGAACAGGAUUAGAUACCCUGGUAGUCCAUGCCGUAAACGAUGAGUGCUAAGUGUUGGAGGGUUUCCCCCCUUCAAUGCCCGAACUAAC
rnacentral:rRNA from 1 species